CGCCCCGCCCGCGCCGCCGUUCCCAUAGCGACCACGGGCAGCUCGGUCCGGGGCCGUGAGCCCCGCCCGGGCAUCCCACCGGCACCGGCACCCGCACCGGCACCGGCACCCGCGUCACACCCCGCGGGGACUCACUGCCAUAGACUGAAUUUGCACCGACAAAUAACGGCGCGGAAACUGGAUGAAAACUAUUCAUCCAUUUGUCGCCAAGUCCUUUGGGAACAGAACAGAACGUCUUCAGCCACAGAAGCCACAAGGGUUUCGCUGGGUCUGGAGGGAUGAAGAACGAUGAGGAGUUGGAAGGGCAUGGGGAAGAAGAGGAGGAAGGUUUUUGCAAUUACGACGGUGAAACACUGGCCCAGGUUUCCCAGUCAGGAGGAGAAUCAAUCCCUGGAAAUAUUCCCUGUCCCAUCCCUGGAAACAUUCAAGGGUAGCCCACCCACACAGAAGUGUACCAUGAGCAAAACAAGAGAAAGUUCAUUGAGUCUCCAGCAGCAGUCCCCAGGCUUUGCAAGGCUGAGGCCCAUUUAAAAAUAACUGGAGAAGAUGAUAGCUGUGGUUUAUUAAAACCUGGAAUCCUGAAGCCAUAGAAAAGAGAAUCACAGGGUGUUACAAUGCCAGGAGUGGGAAAAGAUUGCUUAAAAUUAAUAUUAACUAUAGCAAAGGAAGAAAUUUAAGGACAGAAAGGCAUAAGCAGUGACUUCAGAGAAAACAUUUGUAUCAUGGCCAAGUAUUUCUCGUGGAUGAGCCCCCAAGGUAAACAUUUCAAAGGACUCUAGGAAAGGAAUAAAAGAUGUUUGCAUCACUGUAGGAAGAUGGAAUGAGUUGCCUAUGAGGAGCACUACACCUCUAACCUCAGUGACACUAGGAAAUAAAAACCUACAAAUGUUUCUUCUCUGCUUCUUGCACUGCCCACUCAGUGCAGUCAGCUUUCACUGCUGAUUCCUUCUGACAGACUGCAGUCAGCGAAGGGAGGCUGGGUCUGCACUGCUCCUUGUGUACUUCUGAGCAUCCCUCACCCCCAUGCAGUGAGUGUACUUAUCUGGGCACCUCAAAACCAGUUACACUCAUGGAGACUACCCAGAGCACA